GUGUGUGUGUGUGUGUGUGUGUGUGUGUGUGUGUGUGUGCGCAAUAGGUCAGGUUCCAUCUUUGAAAUAAAUCUCUCUUUGGGGACCACAUUUGCUGUGUCUCAUCAAAUUCUAUAGACAUUACACCUACCACUUGGAAACACUGAUCAAUAACACCACUGGCUCCUCAACCCAUUUGCUGAUGGGAAUAGUUUCUUGUUACCCAGUUAUCAUCUUGUAUGCCUCCAUCAAUUUUUAUUUUCCUCCAAGGAGAACAUAACCUUGCAUCUGCAAUCUGACAUUAUAGCUGAAUUACCUCCAAGCUGAAAUGUUUCUGCAUCCUCUGCAGACGUUCGAAUCCUGAUCAUGUGGUGACCAGAAUUGAGCACAAUAGUCCAGUUGCAGCCUAACCACUGUUUUAUAGAGAUGUAGCGCACUCUCUCCUGCUUUUGUCUCUUUUUAUGAAGCUCAGUAUCACGCCCCCAACAUGUUGAAUUUUGGGUCGAGUUUGGUUUAUUGCCACUGUGGAAAGCUUUUUCUAGCGUGCCAGCCAGCGGAAAAAAAAUACAUGAUUACAAUCAAGCCAUCCACAGUGUACAGAUGCAUGAUAAAGGGAAAAACGUGAAUAACACUUAGUGCAAAAUAAAGCCAGUAAAGUCCGAUCGAAGAUAGUGAUAUCCUGCUAAUUGUUCGGGUGAAGGCACAUAAACACCUGUUCCUGCACACUGUUUGGAACUGCGCUCAUUUCUGAAAAUGGUCUCUAAUUAGUUUCACGCAACAACUAAUUUCAACUGACACACAUCUACCCAGUCCAGCAGUGUACUCUUGUCAUUUUUUCUUUACUGUUUUCUCAUGCAUUAUUUUUGGCAACUUCUGUGUAAUUUGAAAUUCUACAGCAUGUGGUAUAAAAGAAAACAUAAUUAUCCAAGCCCCUCUGCUAGUUUCCAUUCUUCAGAUGGAAAAAAAGGGGCAUUUAAUACUAUGCUUCCUGUCGGAGUUGAUUUUUAUCCAUGCUGCCAGUCCCUGCUUUGAGACAUAGACACAUCCCUCUUUUGUUUUGCACUUUAUCCAAUGCCUUUUCAAGAUCCAUUCUGAUGAUGUUGUCCUCAUGCUCUUCCUAGCCUUGUCUCCUAUCUCUUAUCGAGAGGGUCUGGUCUUAAAGUCGGAAUGAGUGUGCACAUGGAGGUUUGAAGAAUCUAGCAAUUCAGUCGUGCAGGGAUGAGGAACAGUCCUAUGCGAGUUCAUGCUGCAGGAAUAUCUUCAGCAAUGGGGCUGACAAGCGCUGGGGAGUUGUGAGGCUAUGAAAUGGAAACGUCACUUCAAACAUCCCGUAUGAAGCCAACACCUACAUGAUGCAAUGAGAUCUACACAAUAUGUUGCAAUCUUUUUAAUUCAUCAAAAACAUUCAAUAAAUUGGAUCAAAUGAUAAUUCAAUUUCUGGUGUCCUGGUGGGUUUCAUUGUCUGUAUAACUCGUUUUCACUUAUCCAACAGCUAACAAUGGGCCGUUCCCUUGUCAUUGUUACUUUUUUGCAUAUCUUUCAUUUCUUUGUUCUAUAUCACCCUUCACCUUCUAUAUCUCUCAUUUCCCUUUCCAUGACUUUCAGUCUGAAGAAGGGUCUCUACCUGAAACAUCACCCAUUACUUCUCUCCAGAGAUGCUGACUGUCCCACUGAGUGUCCCAGCGUUUUGUGUCUAUCUUCGAUAAUAAGUUUCUGUUUUGGUCAGCUGUAUAAAGUGU